UACGAAGGGGGCUAGCGUUGUUCGGAAUUACUGGGCGUAAAGCGCACGUAGGCGGACAUUUAAGUCAGGGGUGAAAUCCCAGAGCUCAACUCUGGAACUGCCUUUGAUACUGGGUGGCUAGAGUCCGGAAGAGGAGAAUGGAAUUCCUGGUGUAGCGGUGAAAUGCGCAGAUAUCAGGAAGAACACCCGUGGCUAAGGCGGUUCUCUAGUACGGUACUGACGCUGAGACGCGAAAGCGUGGGGAGCGAACAGG
rnacentral:rRNA from 1 species